GACGGAGGGUGCAAACGUUGUUCGGAAUUACUGGGCAUAAAGCGCACGUAGGCGGCGCGAUAAGUUAGGUGUGAAAGCCCUCGGCUCAACCGAGGAAUGGCAUCUGAUACUGUCGUGCUUGAGGACGGUUGGGGUGAGUGGAACUCCUGGUGGAGCGGUGAAAUGCGUAGAUAUCAGGAGGAACACCGGUGGCGAAAGCGGCUCACUGGACCGUAACUGACGCUGAGGUGCGAAAGCUAGGGUAGCGAACGGG
rnacentral:rRNA from 1 species